rnacentral:piRNA from 1 species
UAUUACUUAUAAUCCUCGUUUCUGC